CAAGAGCCCUACAGGAAAGGAGCCAGCGACUCCAUCCUGACCUCUAGUCUUGCAUGGGACAUCGCGAGGUGUUUCGUGAAGCGUAGGCCGGAGGCAUCGGUGGGCGGGGUGAUUGAGCUUCGAAAAAUCGCAGAUCAGGAUGCCGACUCCCUAGUGAGCAGGAGGAAGGCAAAACGGCAGUUGCGGUAUCCGCGAGUGACUGUCCGGUCCUGCGUAGUCGUGAGAGCC
rnacentral:ncRNA from 1 species